GUUACUUUGGCAGAAUAGUGCAAUUGAUUUAGAAUCUUUAUAUGUAAAUUUUUUACAGGUAAUA
rnacentral:tRNA from 1 species